rnacentral:lncRNA from 10 species
UGGUGGUUGCAGAAGGACUCAAAUACAAACUGGAAAAGCCAAGACGGAGGGCUGCUCGGAGCUAUUAUUCGCUAGGUGAGGUUAGCUUGUAGAAUGCAAACAGACUUCAAUUCUAGUGGUUCUGUAACCAGGGGCAGCUCAGCUAACCUCUCUCAGUUUGUUUCUUUUUAUGGGAACAGCAACCAUCCCAGAGCAUUUCUGUAGGAACUAAAAAUAAUACAUGAAGAAGUUCUCAAUGUAAAUGGUCUUUAUUCAUUCAUUUUGCACUUGAUAUUAAUAAAUAUUUAUUUACACCUUUAGAUUAGGCACCAGGCUCCCAUGUGCUAGUGAAGGAGGAAGGCGUGACUUCUCAUUUAGAAAUUUUACCAUAAUGGAGGAGAAUGUUAUAUAACUGUUAGUUGCCCACUGCGAUGGUUAAACUGUCUACUUGAUUGGAUUGAAGGACGCAAAGUAUUGAUCCUGGGUGUGUCUGUGAGGGUGUUGCCAAAAGAGAUCGACAUUUGAGUCAGUGGGCUGGAGAAGACGGACCCACCCUUAAUCUGGCGGACACAAUCUAAUCAGCUGCUAGUGAAUAUAAAGCAGGCAGAAAAACUUGAAAAGGCGAGAUUGUCCUAGCCUCCCAGCCUACAUCUUUCUCCCGUGCUGGAUGCUUCCUGCCCUCAAACAUUGGAUUUCAAGUUCUUUAGUUUUGAGACUUGGACUGGCUCUCCUUCCUCCUCAAGCUUGCAGACGGCCUAUUGUGGGAUCUUCUGAUGAUCAUGGCUUGGCCCCCACAGCUAUGGCACAGGGAGCAGGGUCAUCAAAAUCCACUCUGCUCUUCCAGAAGCUGCAGAGAGAGGGAACCCUAAAACCUGACAUGCCAGAAAAGAUUGCACUGAAGCUGAGAGAUGUGUAGUCCUAGACUAGAAGAAGAGAUUCAGCUGAGACCAAGGGCUCAGUUGCAGAAAGAAGUGACCACGAGGCUGUGAAAUCCUAAUAAUAAACUGAAAUCCCUGAAAGACUACUGGACUCCUAGAAAUCGAAACCAGUCUUAUAUAGUGAAAUCUCAAAGAAAAGGCCGAACCAAGGUGACAGCAAGGUUACACCACAGACUUAGCUCCCUGCACAACCCCCUGACCAGUCCCCAGUAACCAGCAUUCUACUCUGCUUGUGAGUAUGACUUCUUUAGAUUCUACAUAUAAGUGAGACCAUGAGGUAUUAGUCUUUCUGUG